CUUGGCUGAAGAGAGUGGUGCCACCUGAAUAACUCGUACAUUUAACCACAACCGAUGCUUCUAACACUGUUCUAACAAUGCAGCUAACAAUGGCUGUUAUAUAAAAACUGGAACAAUAAGCUCGUCUUCUUUUUUUUAUUUGGCUAAUUAUUGAAUUUAAUUACUCUGGGUCUAUUCCUGUCUAAUAUGUUUUAAUCAUAUUGUGGUAAACUGAUUAUUCGUUCCAAUCUUUUCUUCUUUCUGAGUCACUGUUGUAAAAUUAUGAAUAUAAUUCUUAGCUUGAAAAGUUUACAUAUGUAUUGUGAAUUGUGGGUUUGCCAAUAAAUGCACUAUAUAUUUUUAAACUGCUAAGACUAUAUCUUGUAUAAGCACUGUCAACUACACUUGUCACUAAAGUGAAAGCAAGACUUUUACUAAUAGCACAUAAAAACCAAAAAAAAAAAAAAAAAAACCCCACACACCAAAUGCUCUACUUUAGUCUUACUUUCAUGUUUUACUCCUCAACCUCAAUACACAGGACCAGGUGAUAUUGACCUCAUUUUUUGUUUGUUUGGUCAAGCCCCUUCAGCUGGCCUGGUCACGGAUGACAAAUGCAUUAUUAAACAGCAGCUAAGCCAACUCAAACUUCACAUUCAGAAUGAAAUGGGAGCUGGGGUGAAUGUAGGUGUAGCUGCUUAGCGAGCCAGCAAAGACAUCUAGGAGACGAUAGCUGUGGAACAACUCAAGGGUAUUCUAUAUGAGGCACUCCCCCCACCCCACUCCCGAGAUUUGCUCCCGACUCAUGCCAGGCUGCUGUAGAGAUAUUGUGGGAUACAAGUGCUAAUGAGACGAUACUCCUUACAGCCAGAAGUGUUAUCUGUCGGUCAUGGGGAGGUAGCUCAACAUUUAGCUGUUUAUAUUACUAUACUGUGCUAUCUAAAUUAGAAAUGACAUUAUAUUAUGCAACAAUACUUUACAGAGUGCUGGAAAAAAUACUGUAAUCCUCUAAAAUUUGUAAUCCUGCAAAAAAAAGUUCAUAUAGUAUCUCUCUGUGAAGCAUUUGGAAUCCAGGGUUACCCUUCCUCCCUACUAAUGCUCAGGUAUAUUUUUUUUGACUAUCUUGGAAUGGGGUUCUCCUCAAUGCCACCUUUCACUAGAUCCCUUACUAAUUGUUUCUGUCUCCAAGGUAGCAUGGCUGCUCUUUGAUGUUC
ensembl:lncRNA